GGUUGAUAACACAGGACAUGAGUUUCCACCUGUUAGGUGAUGGCCUCGGCCUGCUGCAGACACUAACACUAGUCCCACUGCUUGGCUUCUGGAGUAGUUGAAAAAUUCAUUAUGGUCUUGAUGAAAAGCCACUGGAAAAUUCAAGCAAGCAGUCAGGGUGGAAGUAAUUUCUUAGACUUUUUUUUUCUUCUUCAUUUAUCAGUCAUAUAAUUGGAUCUGAAAAUGUGUUGAAGGAUGUUUUUAUGAACAUAAAGCACUGGGAAGUCUGGCAUUAUUCCAGUUAAUGGACUCCAUGAUUAUGUAGUUGCUCAGUUCAGGCUGUUGCCAAGAUUAACAACAGCAACAAAAUGUGCAGUACUGGAGCACAAGCAGAAUUAUUACUGUUUCCCAUCAAUGUUGUUACUUGUAAAAGUGAUAAACAUAGCAGCAACUUGUCAGCCUGGGAAUUCAGCAGGAGGUGGGGGUGUCUGGUCAAAGGGACUGUCUGUACCGUAACCCAGCAGACAAAGUGUAUUUCCGUGGCAGUGUACCUACCAGAAAAGUGUUUGAGAAUGUUAAUGACUUUUAGUUGGUUUAAUUGCAUGUGAUGUACUUUCUGGUCAGUGUGCAAGACGAGGCUUUUUUCUACUUUUACACACACUUCCGUUUAUAAACGGAUGUAGUGGCAGCCUAGGUGGUCUGGUGUUGUGUUUGGAAGGCAUUGGUACUUCUAUCUUCCUAGGAAGUAGAAAAGGUCAAGCAGUUAAUGAACUUAUUUUAAGGAAUAUCAAGUCCUGCUCCGGCCAGAUAUUCAGCUCUGACAACAUUGGGUUGCUGAGCCAAGGGCCUAUUUUGUUGUCAUACACCUCCUGCUGAGAAACCCAUUUUCUAGACAAUAGUGAGCACUCAAGUGCAGAAAGGCGAUGGAGGAAGGCUCCCACUUGAAGAAGUCUAUUGCUGGAGCAGUGUUAAAUAGCAGCAUGUAGCAAGUAAGUUCUGCUACAUUACCAGCAUUCUGUGGUAUCUGUUCAUACUGCAGCAAGAAAUUUUCAGGGAAACAGGAGUGCUGUAAUCUGGUUUUAUAGCUGUUAACUGUACCUGCUGCAAACACACUUAAAACCAAGCAUACCUUUCCGUUCUGUCAAUGCAUGCCAGUUUGACCAAAGGAGGCUUUUCUUUGUAAAAGUAAAUUGCAUAACAAAGAUUUAGCUGUAAUUUGUAGAUCUCAACCCUCUGAGAGACCAGUCAUAGAAUAAAUUUUCUAAUGUUUCUAGCGUCAGUGGAAGAUUUAACCAGACUCUUCAGAGAAGGUACCAGGGAAGUAAUGCGAAGGCACCUGUGGUUCACCCAGAAAGCAACACCUGGUUGCUCUCCAUUUCAACAACACAAAACACUUCCUGGCAGUGAUGGUCUUGAGUGUGUUCAGCACAGUAUUGCCUACUAGAUAAUGGCAUCUCAAAUGUUGAGUAAAGCAUGCAUAUAGCUUCAGUGAGGAUUCAACCUUUCUUGUUAAAUCAGGACUAUAUUUGUAGCUUGGGCACCUUGAAAGUAAUGAUGUUUUUCAGAGUAUAAGAAGUGCUAUGAAAGAUCAUGAAUAAAGGUCCAUUUGGCUCUGUA